UUAAAUUUAAAUAUGGUCCAUCUGGCCAGUUUAUUCAACAAAAACAAACAAUUCUGUACAAAAUGACAGGCCCAAAAUGGCUAAAGCCCAAAACCCGAAAGUAAACAAAAUGGCAAAACAAAAAGGGAAAGUUCAGACUAAUGAAAUUAAGAAACUUAGAAAGAGGGUGGAAUUUCAGUCAACUUCUGUUCCGAGUAGCAACAAUCCAGUGAUGUUCACGACCUCAGCAAAUCCACAAAUAGUUGUGCCAUUUUUCGAUGGUCUAUGUUCUAUGAUUUCUUCAGCUCAAAAUUGGUGAUUUCCACACAUACUUAGAAGAAGAACACCAACCUGUUCCCAUUUUCAACUUAUAGAUUCCUUUGACCGAUUUUUCAACUUUCCUUCUAUCCUUUGUAGAAUGAGCUCCCAAGGGCUAAUACCACUACGAAGAAUAGAGAUCUAAUUAGUACUUCCUCUUUAAUAGCUUCUCAAAAUUGAAAUUCUAAUUGUGAAUGUGAGAUCAUUAUCGUUGACUUUUUUGUUGUUAACUUGCUAUCCAUUGUCGAUGAGUACUGUUGACGUUGUUGUUACUAUAAUUCCAGUGUGCACCAUUGAUCUUCUAUUUUGA